AGCCCUCCAGACAGAGUGGAGAGGGUGUCAGCAGUAACUUUGUAUUGACUGUGGAGGUGGCAGCAGCAUAAGAAGGACACCGAGUGGCUCAAUGACCGAGUGUGCACGUGACAGCAGUAUGAGGAAGCUACCGAGUGGCACAAUGACAGAGUCUGGAGGUGGCGGCAGCAUCAGGAGGCCACAGAGUGGCAAGGUGACAUAGUGU